UACGUAGGGGGCAAGCGUUGUCCGGAUUUACUGGGCGUAAAGCGCGUGUAGGUGGGGGAGCGUGUCCGGUGGGAAAGCCCGCGGCUCAACCGCGGAAGUUCGCUGGAAACUGCUCUUCUUGAGGUGAUAGAGGGAAGUGGAAUUGCUGGUGUAGCGGUGAAAUGCGUAGAUAUCAGCAGGAACACCCGUGGCGAAGGCGGCUUCCUAGAUCACCCCUGACGCUGAGACGCGAAAGCGUGGGAGCGAACGGG
rnacentral:rRNA from 1 species